rnacentral:rRNA from 1 species
UGGGGAAUAUUGCACAAUGGGCGCAAGCCUGAUGCAGCCAUGCCGCGUGUAUGAAGAUGGCCUUCGGGUUGUAAAGUACUUUCAGCGGGGAGGAAGGGAGUAAAGUUAAUACCUUUGCUCAUUGACGUUACCCGCAGAAGAAGCACCGGCUAACUCCGUGCCAGCAGCCGCGGUAAUACGGAGGGUGCAAGCGUUAAUCGGAAUUACUGGGCGUAAAGCGCACGCAGGCAGUUUGUUAAGUCAGAUGUGAAAUCCCCGGGCUCAACCUGGGAACUGCAUCUGAUACUGGCAAGCUUGAGUCUCGUAGAGGGGGGUAGAAUUCCAGGUGUAGCGGUGAAAUGCGUAGAGAUCUGGAGGAAUACCGGUGGCGAAGGCGGCCCCCUGGACGAAGACUGACGCUCAGGUGCGAAAGCGUGGGGAGCAAACAGG